rnacentral:misc_RNA from 1 species
AAUUCGCGUCACGAAUUCAGUUCAGUUCAACCAGUGGCACCAGUGGCACGGAACUAUCGGGACGUGUAGUUGGCGAGAAUUGUUGCAAACGUGGAAAUACCGGCCUUAGCGACGUUGUACCUGUUCCUGUAGGCCAGAAAUGACACUUGCACAAAUAUUGAGGGAGAAGAUCCCUCGCCGAGGCAUCCUCGGAGCUAUGAUGUUUCUGGCUUGUAUGUUUUCUUACUUUAUACGGACAAACCUUUCCAUUAUCAUCGUCGCCAUGGUUAAAAAUGGGACAGACACACGUGAAGAAAAUGGGACAGACACACGUGAAGAAAAUGGGACACGCACAGAUGAUUUCGGUGAGCGAUACGAGUGGAACGAAAUCGUUCAGGGAGCUGUACUAAUGGCUUACUACUGCGGCGUAGUUCCGGCUAGUAUUCCAGCCGGUAUUUUAGCAGAAAAAUUUGGAGGUUCCAAGGUUGUUGCAUUGGCGACUCUCAUUCCUGCUCUACUGAACCUGCUUAUGCCAUGGGCGUCUAGUGUUCACUACAUGUUCGCUAUCGUCCUGCGGUUCCUGAUGGGAUUCUUCGGGAGUGCUGUGUAUCCGGCUCUACAUGCAAUGAUCGCCAGGUGGGUGCCACCCAACGAGAAGGGAAUGUUCGUAUGGGCUAUGCAAGGUGGACCCUUCGGUACCGUAGUCACGUUUGUUCUCUGCAGUCAAGUGAUCGACACAUAUGGGUGGGUGGCUGCGUACUACGUGACCAGCGGACUCAUUCUUGUAUUUUUCGCCCUCUGGGUAUACCUGAUACAUGACACACCCGACCAGCAUCCGAGUAUCACAGAACGAGAAAAGGAAUAUAUUAAGAAACAAAUUGGAACGAGCGUCAGUAAGCAAAAAGUAAAACUUCCUGUUGUCGCUGUCAUCACAUCGCUUCCAUUCUUGGUCCUACUCUGGGCUCACUUUGCUAACAUGUGGGGAAUCUACUUCAUAUCCACAAACGGACCCAAGUAUACGCUCCAGGUUCUUGGGUUCAAUAUGAAAUCCGGUGGCUUUAUGACUGGACUGCCUUACAUUGCCAGACUUGGGGCCGGUGUUUUGUUUGCCGCUGCCGGAGACUACUUACUGAGAAACAAGUACCUGACGGUCGUGUGGUUGCGCAAGAUUUUCAUGAUUCCCUCUCACAUGGGCCCAGCUUUGUGUUUACUCGGUAUGACCUACGCGGGAAAGGACAAAUUCUGGGGAAUUUCUAUGAUGAUACUGGCCUUGGCCUUCAACGGUGCCGCCUGCCAGACAAGUCUCCAAAAUCACCAAGAUCUGUCACCGAACUUCGCGGGAUCCCUUUACGGUGUAAUGAACACGAUUGGCAGCUUUCCAGGUUUCAUUAUUCCUGCGGUUGUCGGUGUUCUGACUAAUGAGCAUAACAGCGUUGAAACAUGGCGUCCCAUGUUUUGGAUUUCCGCAAUUGUUUUCAUGUCCGCAACCGUCUUGUUUUGGCUCUUUGGCUCGGCGAAUAUUCAGCCGUGGAACGACAUAAGCAACGGAGGAGUUGAAGGAGCUAUUUCUACCAUCCCCGACGAAGAGAUGAAAAUGACAAUGAACAACAAAAAGGCUCAGGUCAUGUCCGAUGAUGAAGAGGAAGAGAAUGCCCGUAUUUAGUCUUACAUUACGACGUAAAAAGAAUAGAAGUGGUCCCACUAAUCACCUCGACUGUCAAUGAGGAUUUUUCCAAUUGUUGCGAUCCACCUACCUGACAGUUUUGUAUUCAACGGUCGAAUGCAGUUGGAUUCUUGUCUCUGAGUUUGUGGUUUGUCUUGAAUUGAGCUAGACGUCGAGGAUGAAAUGGAAGCUCGAAGGUUAGCUUUCAAGAGGAGCUGCGUUCUUUUCGCCGAAGCUGAUAUGGGCACUGUGUGCAACUGACUCGAUAGUGUAACAGAAGACUGAUUUUCGCUGAUUUUGGAAGGUGUUGCCAUCACGUAACAGGGGUUGUAUGCGAGUAAAAUAUCCUGAGUUCUGAGUA